AUGUAGCUUGUUUCAAAGUGCACUUCCUAAUCCCAAUGCAGCAAAUACCUUGUAGUGGAAAUUUACUCCCGUUUUAAAUGUUUUAAAGUUUUAUUUAGUUCGAGAGUGUAGAGGGAUUAAAAUUAGUUUGGGGAGGGUUUUUUUUAUCAGAUGCACUUUCCAUUCUUCCUGUGGCAAAAUUGACCCACUAGAUUCAUAGAUUUUUGUUGUACAAUGGUGGAGAAUUGGUGCGUUGAGUCGAUGGGAGUGAGUCCUGUAUAUUUUUGGGGGAAAAAGUUAUGUUAAUUGAUCCAUCAGGAGGAUGUUCCAGGUGUAAAUAUAUUUUUUGCACCCCUGAGAUGAAGACCAACAUUCUCUAUGACCUUUUUCAGAUCGUAACUGAAAAGGGAAAUUGACGCUUCUUGUUUCUAAGGAAAUGAAAAUCGAAACUGAGAUUGUGGAAACCAAAGCUUCUGGGAAGACUGAAACUGGCUGAGGAGAAAUAAAGGAACACAGAGCCAUCCAAGCUCAAUGGUGCCAAUUGAUGAAUCUAGUGGUACAGUACAGGCAAGCUGUAGGAGACAGAGUCCAGAUCCAGAAGCUGAGACUAAGUUGCUGUAACUGUUUCUGUUACCUGAAGAUAACAUUGGUGGAUCAAUACCAUCCAGACCAAGUUGAGGAUAUUCUGCAGACAUAUAACAUUUUUGCUGAAUACCAUGCCCAUGGAACCCAUGUUGAUUGUGUGCUGCUGUCAGCUGGGGUUCAGGAUACAUCUUAGAAGGGGAGGAAUUGAAAUUCUUCUUAAGGGAGAUAGAGUUUUGAAGAAUUUGUGACUAAUUUUCAUGAUCUAUAUACUGUGUGCACUGCUGAGCCAAUUUGUAGAUCUGUCUUAGUUGUGUCUACCCUUGAAUGUGUAAUGUAUAGAU